AUGAUUUAUAGUGGUUCUUCUUCUAUCUCAUGGUAUGGGAAAAAAUUAUACAGAAGGUUUGAUGAGUCUAAGGUUCUGGUGGAGAUGGCUACCGUUGCAGGUUUGACAGUUUGUGGGGUUGGUUUUGUAGCAGGCUUUGGACAUGUAGUGAAGCAAGACCAACAACAUGGUUGUAGCAAUGGCUUUGGACAUGGGAAAAAGCUUAGACUCAUGUAG